ACAAUGCUCUGAUUGGCUGAGCGGCGCCGCGCAAAACUCGUUUCAGCCAAUUGUAAAGCAGUUCAGGACAUCAUAACAGCGUCCCUUUUAAAGACACGAGUUGUUAUUUCUAGUUGUUUUGUGUCUGCAAUUUUUAUAUUUAAAAAAGAAGACGCGGAAAGACUCGUAUUACUGUCAAGAAACUCUGCUUCAUCCACUGUCCAAACAGAGCCUUUCCCUCCAUCAACACGUACAAAGCACUUAUGGAGGCUUAGGUUGUGCCGGACUGCAUUCUACAUGUGUGGGGGUAAAAAGAUUACAAAUAGUGAGAUAUAUGCUAAUAGAUAUAUCAACCUUUAACAUGUUUCUGCAUAUUCAGAAUACUACUUUAGUACACUGAACCAAACAACUAGGCUUGAUACAAAAGAUGUUUAUUGAACAUUCACAUCAAUGUGGUGUUUGUCAGCAAUUCUCAGGGUUAAAUGUUUUUUUGGUUAGAUAGCUGUGGUUUGCUUGUGGUCACUGAGGCGCAGAACAAAAAAAGUACAAGGUGUCUUUUACCUUCCAUGUGGCUGUGUUAUGACGGAAGUAGAAGAACUUGCGUGUAAACCAGUGAUAGAUUUCAUUCAGCGUAAGCUGUUUCUCAGUAGAUUCAAGAAUUGCCUACAUAGCAAGAUACAAAGUAAAUGUGAUUGAUUAAUCUAAGAAAAAUCAAGAGAAUGUCUUUGUCAGUAGAAAAAACAUUAAAGGUGUUCACCCACCCAUCUUAUCAUGGAGGCAUAAGUAAAUGGUGGCCUCAUGUUUGUGUAUUUGUAGCACUCAAUACUGGGGACAAUUCCUGCAGAAUAAUUGCAACAUAAUCAACACACAAUUAAAUAAAAUCCAAGACAAUCAUGCAUGAAGCAUGCUAACAUAUUUAAUAGUACAAAUAAGACAGAAUUUUUAUUUAUUUAAAAGUAUUUAUUUUAUUUUAAAUAUUUAAAAGUGUUUAUUUAGUUGAUACUUGAUUAUCCACCAGUUGCAUUGGGUCUGGAGAACAUUCCAGGAACCCUGCUCACAAGGCAGAUAAAAUAUCAAAUUGCAUCAUCUGUGCAUGCUUUACAUACAGCAUAUUUUUUGGUAUGUCAUAUUGACCCACUGAAAGUCACUUGUACUGAUAUUGACACAAGUGAUCCUUUAUGGCCCAACUUCACUCCUGCUUUUAGUAAAAUCUAAGCCCUUUGACUAAUAUUAGUCAAAGAUUCUCAAUUGAAAUAGUACGGUGUGGCUGAGAUGACACAGUGGUGUAUGAGUUUUAACCACAGCACUGCCCUAAUUAUAUAUGGUAAGAUAUUAACUUAGGAUAUUAACCACAACUUAGGAUCUCAAAAACUAUUUUGUGGUCACAAAAUACUUUUAAAAUGAGUUAGACACGGAGAAUUCAAAUUAAUAAGACUGCUGUGGCCAUUGGAACUUAAGCAAUGAGAUUAUGUUGAUAAUAUUACCAAAUAAUAUCAAUUGAGUCUUUUAAUGAUGACAGAGACAUAGUGGUGUGAAUGACAUUGCAAAAUAAUCUGUAUUAAUCUGUAUGAACAUGAAGUUAAAAAAGUGACAUUGUGACCUCAUGGUAUUAAUUCCUGGCCACUCCUUAUUAAAAAUGAACCACCAUGUCACAUCAGAAGCUCAAUUUUUAUUGUUUUUGUACUAUGUGUGUAUGCUUUAACCUGGUAUGAAUGGUGUUGCUGGGAUUUGCCAGUAUCCUGGAGUUAGCAUGUCAGAUGAGGCUGUGUUUUGUGCAUGUAGAAUGCUCAAACUCUGACAGGACUGCAGGCUUCCUGAAGGAGUACUGGAUUGCUUCAUUCUUGGGUUAGCCUGGAGUCAAAGAUCAUGUUGGGCAAUUACAUUAAAAUCCGUUUAAAAAAUAUUUUACCAUGAGUACAGCAUUAUAUCAUUGAUACUUCAUCAAAUGUGCUUACAUCAAAAAGAUGCAGGUACAUAGAGUGUAGUCUCUGCUUUUCCAGAACCAACUGCAAUAAUUACACAGCAUAUAAGCAUUAUCGGUAAUAGAACUUUAAUCUUUAAUAAAUAUUCUUAAUUCAUGUGUUGUGUGCGUACCUGUCUUUCCAUGUGUUCAACCAUAUUUUUCUGCAUUCGCCAUUGUUCAAAGGUUUUGUCUCCAGGGCCAUGCUCCGAAUAGAGAUGUCUUUAUAUUACACAAUAAAUAACAAAGAUUUUGUAUUAAUUUAAGAUGCCAGCACGCUAGAGGCAUACUAAGCCAUUUAUUUGCUAUAGAAAAGUAGAAAGCUGAAAAGAAAUAAAAAGCAUAAAUUUUAAGAACUUGGAAGCAUCAGGUAUGUCACACUAUAUAUGAUAAAGGUUAUAACUUACUUCAGGAAGUGAUUAUAUUCUUUAAAAGCUUCCUUGCAGCCUGGCCAGGUGCACACACCUUUGUUAAAUAAAAAGUUUUCAGAGCCCAUCGGAAGACUUUAAAAAAAGAAAGAAAGAAAGAAACUUUAGAAGAGAAAGAAAAAUAUCAAAUAUUGAUUAGAGUCUAAUUGUUUGCCAGAACAGCUUUAGUUGACAUUUGCUCUGAUUCUACAAGUAUCUAGAACUUGAGAGGUGAAAACAGACUUUCCAAAGGAUAUUCCUUCAGUUCUUGUUGAAGUGAUGGUGGUUGACUACACUAACUCAUCAGUCAAAAACCUUAUUUAGCUGUUUAACUGGGUUGGCUUCUUGUGUGUGUGAAGACCAGAGCAUGUGCUUUACGUAAUCUUCAUUCCCACUGACAUUCUGGAAAAGGUUACUCCAGGAGUUUCCAGUCUUAUCUGCCAAUGGCCGGUGUAGGUGUUUUCAUUUUAAGCAAGCAAAAGUCACACCUGAUAAGCCAGGUUAAUCAGUUGAUUUUUCAUCUUUUAAUAGACUCAGAUGUGGCUUCAGUUAUAUUAGAGUGAAAACCUGCACACUCCCAUCACUUUCCUGAUAAGAUUUGAUACCCAUGGGAUACUCCAAUCAAAAUAGACAUGUUAAGAUACUUGUCCUAGAAAUAACUGCCAAAAACUUGUAGGCAGAAAAUCAAAACCAGCUCUAAAGGUAGAUCUCCAAAUUACCUCUGAGUUACGACCUUAACAACAUCCAGGCUGAAAGUAUUCAUAGUAGUAUAGUAACAAGAAUUCAUUUUACAAAGUAGAAAACCUGUUUAAAAAGAAAAAUCUGCUAACAAUAAAAAAAAAUAAAAGAUAAAAGCAGUCAAGACUUCAAGUUAGCAUAUUUUCUUACUCUGUAUGGUGCUCUGUUGUACUCUGAGCAGGACCCGGUCCAGAAGCAUUGACUCUGCUGGGAUAGCCUGUGUCAUAAGAUGUUAAGUUGACUGGCAGUUUAUUGUCCGUUUCUUCCUUAAACACGAGUUCAUUGGAACAGUCACCCAUACUAGUCUGGCUGGAUGAGACUGUGGAUUCGAAAGAUUUUCUGUUCAAAAUUCUAUUUCACUGAAACAGUCAUGUAUGGAGAUGGAAUAUAAAAGUGUGUUGUUAAGAUGGGCAUACCAUGUGGCAGAGUCUGGUUGCCUUUGCGGAGAACUGAUGGUCUCUGCAGGAUGGACUGCUGAUGUUGCUUGUUGUUUUUGUCAUUGGUGUCCUGGACACAGCAAACAAGUGUCAUGUAGAUUUGCAGGUAAAAUAUUAUAGAAUGCGCUGCUGAAAAAGCACAAUAGCUUGUGCUGUUAUACCCAACAAUGGUGUGGUGCAAUGCCUGAAGCUGAUUAUUUUCUACAAACAGCACUAUCCAAUUGUAGCUAAAUUUUUAGAGCUGACAAUUUUAUGUAUAAAUAAUAACAUUUAUCUAUAGUUAAAGUUAAUGUUGUAGAAUAUCCAUGAAACAAGUUAGUUCCUGUUAUCACUUACAUCAUAGCAGCUAUAAACCAUUGUUCCCUCACCUCACUCUCACCUUUCUCUUAAGUAAAUAAGACAAAUGAUUGUAGCUUGUCAAGUUCCUUUUCUGUAAUUAUGAAUUAUGACUUAUGUGAUUAUGGUGGGGGAAAAAAAGGAAAAGCUUCAUUAUUGAUUGCUAUGAACUGUUACAUCAUUCCAAAAAUGCUAAAUAAACAUCUCACAGAAAAUGAUACUAUAUCAUAAAGUACACCUUUUCUAAUCAAUUUACAUGCAGCAUCAUCUGCUCAAAACCUUGUAUAAGAGUGCAGAAAUAUAGACCUUACUCUGUUGAAGAAAAUUUUUUAAUUCAAGCAUUCAACAGCAUCGUGGUAUAUUUCUGCUAUAUAUUUCAUUCAUCUCUAAAUGUUUAAUAAAUGUACUUGAAAGAUUACUGAGCUAUAAAUAAAUAAAUAAACAAACUUAUGUUUCAAAUAUCAGAAACGUAAUAUUUAGAUUCAGAUUCAGACCACUGUUUUAAAAACUUUCUUUUUUCAAAUGAACACUGCUUAUUUUUUCCUCUAGCUUACUUUUUCUUCUUCACACUAAGUGUCCGUUAUUCCUCUAAUAUCUGAGUACUAACUUUGUUUGUGUUACCUUUGUGAUGAUGCACUGAUUGGCUCUUGAAGAUAUGUCACCAGCUGUGGACUUUAUCUGAGAUCUGGAUAACUCAGGAGGCUCUUUUAACAGCUGAUGGAGUUUCUUCUGGUCCUUCGAAUUACUGCCACACUCUUGUCCUCCACUUGUUCCAGCUCCAUUAUGAAGCAUAGCUGGAGUUUAUAUACAGUGUUAGUUAUUGUUUAUAUCUAUUUUGUUAGUGGUAGACUUCAAAUCUGGGCUGUAUAAAUGGCAUACAAGUAUUCAUUUUUAAUAAUAAUAAUAAUAAUAAUAAAUUAUACAUUAUUUAGAAACUAGCUUGAAUUAUUUAGUAAAUAAUAAACCAGUAAACUGUUCAGAAAUCACUUUUGUUGACCUGAAAUAUAAUUGGAAAAAAAAAUUGGAAACCAAUAUAAAUGAUUGCAUUGGUUUUCAUAUUGUCAUAUUGUCGUUAAUAGUUAAUAUUAUUGAGCAUGUGGUGCUAAAUGAAAAACUGCAACAUAAUGUGAAAAAAACACUGAAAUCUGUUGAUAUAAUAUGAAUAUAAAAAUAAAAUAUGAAAACCUGUGG